UCUGCUAUAAAGCCUACCUCUACAAUAUCCAAAUCAAACCCUUUAGUGGAAACCCCAAGAAGGGGCAGACAGAAAAGCAGAUUCUUGAACAAAAAAAGGCUCCAAUUACUCACUGCAGCUGAGUAAACUAUCCCUGGUCCCUUAAUCUUUGCUAUUUCUGGCUCCUAGCAACUAAAGAUUGGAUUUUUACUCACUCAGAAGCAAUAAAAACCCCAGCUUACUUGUUAUAAAGAACACUGGAAAAGUACAAUCAUGCCAAGACAACAAGUGG
rnacentral:misc_RNA from 1 species